rnacentral:rRNA from 1 species
GACGAACCGUGCGAACGUUAUUCGGAAUCACUGGGCUUAAAGCGCGUGUAGGCGGAUGGGGACGUCGGACGCUGAAAUCCCCCGGCUCAACCGGGGAACUGGCACCGAAACGCCCCGUCUCGAGGGACGUAGGGGGACCUGGAACUUCCGGUGGAGCGGUGAAAUGCGUUGAGAUCGGAAGGAACGCCCGUGGCGAAAGCGAGGUCCUGGACGUCUACUGACGCUGAGACGCGAAAGCUGAGGGUAGCGAACGGG